AGUGAACGCUGGCGGUAGGCCUAACACAUGCCAGUCGAACGGCAACACAGUAAGAUCUUGCUCUUACGGGUGGCGAGUGGCGGACGGGUGAGGAAUACAUCGGAAUCUACUUUUUCGGGGGGGAUAACGUAGGGAAACUUACGCUAAUACCGCAUACGACCUACGGGUGAAAGCAGUGGAUCUUCGGACCUUUCGCGAUUGAAUGAGCCGCUGUCGGAUUAGCUAGUUGGCGAGGUAAAGGCCCACCAAGGCGACGAUCCGUAGCUGGUCUGAGAGGAUGAUCAGCCACACUGGAACUGAGACACGGUCCAGACUCCUACGGGAGGCAGCAGUGGGGAAUAUUCGACAAUGGGCGCAAGCCUGACCCAGCAAUACCGCGUGGGUGAAGAAGGCCUUCGGGUUGUAAAGCCCUUUUGUUGGGAAAGAAAAGCAGCAGGUUAAUCCACAGAUGUUCUGACGGUACCCAAAGAAUAAGCAACGGCUAACUUCGUG
rnacentral:rRNA from 1 species